CGUAGGUGCUGAGCGUCAUUUUCAUUUCUUUUUGCAAAUGGCGUCUCAAGGACCUUGCGA
rnacentral:pre_miRNA from 1 species